ACUCAGCAGAUGGUGAAUCCCCCUGUGCGGAGGGGCACUACUGGCGGCCUUGAGUUUGUAGACGCAUGCGGAACGUUGUUGCCAGUCGGCGUUUCACCGGGAGGCACCCGGCACCAUCCAGAGAUGCUGUACCUGAUAGCCUGUUCGUCCGAGCAGGCUUUUUU
rnacentral:sRNA from 1 species